rnacentral:rRNA from 1 species
GACGAACGCUGGCGGCGUGCUUAACACAUGCAAGUCGAACGGUGAAGGGGUCUGCUUUUGUGGGCCCUGGAUGAGUGGCGAACGGGUGAGUAGCACGUGAGUAACCUGCCCCCUUCUUCUGGAUAACCGCAUGAAAGUGUGGCUAAUACGGGAUAUUCUGGGUCUGUCGCAUGAUGGGUCUGGGAAAGAUUGCGCCUUUGGGUGUUUUUGGUGGGGGAUGGGCUCGCGGCCUAUCAGCUUGUUGGUGGGGUGAUGGCCUACCAAGGCGGUGACGGGUAGCCGGCCUGAGAGGGUGGACGGUCACACUGGGACUGAGACACGGCCCAGACUCCUACGGGAGGCAGCAGUGGGGAAUAUUGCACAAUGGGCGCAAGCCUGAUGCAGCGACGCCGCGUGAGGGAUGGAGGCCUUCGGGUUGUAAACCUCUUUCGCCAGUGAAGCAGGCCUGCUCCUUGUGGGUGGGUUGACGGUAGCUGGAUAAGAAGCGCCGGCUAACUACGUG